rnacentral:rRNA from 1 species
AUUGAACGCUGGCGGCAGGCCUAACACAUGCAAGUCGAGCGAGCGGCGGACGGGUGAGUAAUGUAUGGGGAUCUGCCCGAUGGAGGGGGAUAACUACUGGAAACGGUGGCUAAUACCGCAUACUAUCGGAUGAACCCAUAUGGGAUUAGCUAGUAGGUGGGGUAAAGGCUCACCGAGGCGACGAUCCCUAGCUGGUCUGAGAGGAUGACCAGCCAAACUGGAACUGAGACACGGCCCAGACUCCUACGGGAGGCAGCAGUGGGGAAUAUUGCACAAUGGGCGCAAGCCUGAUACAGCCAUGCCGCGUGUAUGAAGAAGGCCUUAGGGUUGUAAAGUACUUUCAGCGGGGAGGCGUUACCCGCAGAAGAAGCACCGGCUAACUCCGUGCCAGCAGCCGCGGUAAUAC